rnacentral:misc_RNA from 1 species
GAUGAAGAACGCAGCGAAAUGCGAUAAGUAGUGUGAAUUGCAGAAUUCAGUGAAUCAUCGAAUCUUUGAACGCACAUUGCGCCCCUUGGUAUUCCAUGGGGCAUGCCUGUUCGAGCGUCAUUUGUACCUUCAAGCUUUGCUUGGUGUUGGGUGUUUGUCCUGAGGGACUCGCCUUAAAGUAAUUGGCAGCCAGUGUUUGGUUUUGAAGCGCAGCACAAGUCGCGAUUCAAAGCUAUACGCCCGCUUCCACAAGCCUCUUUCACUUUUGACCUCGGAUCAGGUAGGGAUACCCGCUGAACUUAAGCAUAUCAAUAAGCGGAGGA